CAUCAAGCUCAUUAACAGCAGCUCUGACAUUGAGUUCCUGAAACAACUGAGGUACCAGAUUGUAGUGGAAAUAGUUCAGGCAACCACAAUCAGCAAUAUUCCCCAAGUGAAGAGGCAGAAAGAUUCAAAAGGAAAAGAAACUGCAGCAAUGAAAGCUGACCUACUGAGGGCUCGCAAUGUGAAGAGGUAUAUUAAUCAGCUGACGGUGGCAAAGAAGCAAUGCGAGAAGAGAAU